AAGUCGUAACAAGGUUUCCGUAGGUGAACCUGCGGAAGGAUCAUUAUGGAGCUUAUAAAAAUACUUUGUGCAGGCCUAAACGUAUAUAUUUGUGUGACUAUUUAAUUGACAACUUUUAGCAACGGAUCUCUUGGUUCUC
rnacentral:misc_RNA from 1 species